GAUGAAGAACGUAGCGAAAUGCGAUAAGUAAUGUGAAUUGCAGAAUUCCGUGAAUCAUCGAAUCUUUGAACGCACAUUGCGCCCGUCGGCAUUCCGACGGGCACGCCUGUCCGAGCGUCAUUACACCGAUCACGCCUCGCGUGGUGUUGGGGGCCGGUCGCGCGCCGUCGCGACCCCCCCCGGAACCCGUUGGCGGUGGCCCGUUCGCCCCGAUCGUCGCGCAUGUUACGACGGGGCGGGGGACCGCCCGCCGAACCCCCCAUCUUAACGCAAGUUUGACCUCGGAUCAGGCGGGGAUACCCGCUGAACUUAAGCAUAUCAAUAAGCGGAGGA
rnacentral:misc_RNA from 1 species